UACGUAGGUGACCAGCGUUGUCCGGAUUUACUGGGCGUAAAGAGCGCGCAGGCGGUCGUUCAAGUCGAGUGUGAAAGCCCCCGGCUCAACUGGGGAGGGUCAUUCGAUACUGAUCGACUCGAAGGCAGGAGAGGGAAGUGGAAUUCCCGGGUGUAGUGGUGAAAUGCGAUAGAUAUCGGGAGGAACACCAGUGGCGAAGGCGACUUCCUGGCCUGUUCUUGACGCUGAGGCGCAAAAGCUAGGGGAGCAAACGGG
rnacentral:rRNA from 1 species